AGAGUUUGAUCCUGGCUCAGGACGAACGCUGGCGGCGUGCUUAACACAUGCAAGUCGAACGAUGAACCACUUCGGUGGGGAUUAGUGGCGAACGGGUGAGUAACACGUGGGCAAUCUGCCCUGCACUCUGGGACAAGCCCUGGAAACGGGGUCUAAUACCGGAUACUGAUCCGCCUGGGCAUCCAGGCGGUUCGAAAGCUCCGGCGGUGCAGGAUGAGCCCGCGGCCUAUCAGCUUGUUGGUGAGGUAACGGCUCACCAAGGCGACGACGGGUAGCCGGCCUGAGAGGGCGACCGGCCACACUGGGACUGAGACACGGCCCAGACUCCUACGGGAGGCAGCAGUGGGGAAUAUUGCACAAUGGGCGCAAGCCUGAUGCAGCGACGCCGCGUGAGGGAUGACGGCCUUCGGGUUGUAAACCUCUUUCAGCAGGGAAGAAGCGCAAGUGACGGUACCUGCAGAAGAAGCGCCGGCUAACUACGUGCCAGCAGCCGCGGUAAUACGUAGGGCGCGAGCGUUGUCCGGAAUUAUUGGGCGUAAAGAGCUCGUAGGCGGCUUGUCGCGUCGGUUGUGAAAGCCCGGGGCUUAACCCCGGGUCUGCAGUCGAUACGGGCAGGCUAGAGUUCGGUAGGGGAGAUCGGAAUUCCUGGUGUAGCGGUGAAAUGCGCAGAUAUCAGGAGGAACACCGGUGGCGAAGGCGGAUCUCUGGGCCGAUACUGACGCUGAGGAGCGAAAGCGUGGGGAGCGAACAGGAUUAGAUACCCUGGUAGUCCACGCCGUAAACGGUGGGCACUAGGUGUGGGCGACAUUCCACGUCGUCCGUGCCGCAGCUAACGCAUAAGUGCCCGCUGG
rnacentral:rRNA from 1 species